rnacentral:rRNA from 1 species
CUGCACUCACAAGAGACUGCCAGUGAUAUGCUGGAGGAAGGUGGGGAUGACGUCAAGUCAUCAUGCCCCUUAUGUCCAGGGCUUCACGCAUGCUACAAUGGCUGGUACAGAGAGUGGCGAGCCUGUGAGGGUGAGCGAAUCUCGGAAAGCCGGUCUCAGUUCGGAUUGGGGUCUGCAACUCGACCCCAUGAAGUCGGAGUCGC